CGGCGGGAGCCACGCCCACCCACGAGGCUUCGGGCCGGGUAAGAGCGCUGCGAGAACCCCACAGAGGUGUGGGGGCGGCCCAAGGACCAGCCGCCCGCUACCUCAAUGCCGGCUAGCAACGUCUCGGUUCUCCUUUGGGCGACGUCACCUACCUUCCCGUAUUUCUAUCCCUUCACCAACUCCUUGCACCGGGUACGAGCUGGAAAUCCCAAGGAAGGGAGGAUGUUUUUUCAGACAAGCAAGGUUAUAAGACUUCAUCACUGUGAUUCCAGCUACAGAAGCAGACCCAAACUCCAUUUGGAUCCUUUUUUGACUCAUUUUGAUAAAGGGUAUAGCAGUUCAUUCAAGCCCCACCCCCUUGGAGCUGUUUUCUCGGCCCGAGUUUAGCCUGAGCAAGAUGGCCAAGCUUCAGCACUGACAGUAAAUAACAUUUUCCCCUUGUGAAAGGGACAUGUGCUUGCUUAUUCACACUUCGGAAAAGGGCCAGCUCGACUCCCUGCCCAGGAAGUCUGAAUAUUUGCUUUCCAAUCUCUAUUUGCCAAGUACAAUUUGUUGCUAUGUCAGUUUAUUUUAAUCAGUUCCCAUUAAAAAGUUCUUUCAACUUCCAGAA